rfam:Ictidomys tridecemlineatus contig037870, whole genome shotgun sequence.
GGGGCUGUGGCUCAGUGGUAGAGCACUUGCCUAGCAUGUGUGAGGCACUGGGUUCAAUUCUCAGCACCA